rnacentral:rRNA from 1 species
AGUUUGAUCCUGGCUCAGGAUGAACGCUAGCUACAGGCUUAACACAUGCAAGUCGAGGGGCAGCAUUGGGGUAGCAAUACUUCAGAUGGCGACCGGCGCACGGGUGAGUAACACGUAUCCAACCUGCCGCUUACUCGGGGAUAGCCUUUCGAAAGAAAGAUUAAUACCCGAUGGUAUAAAGAGUUCGCAUGUUCUCUUUAUUAAAGAAUUUCGGUAAGCGAUGGGGAUGCGUUCCAUUAGAUUGUUGGCGGGGUAACGGCCCACCAAGUCUACGAUGGAUAGGGGUUCUGAGAGGAAGGUCCCCCACAUUGGAACUGAGACACGGUCCAAAUCCUACGGGAGGCAGCAGUGAGGAAUAUUGGUCAAUGGACGAGAGUCUGAACCAGCCAAGUAGCGUGAAGGAUGACUGCCCUAUGGGUUGUAAACUUCUUUUAUAAGGGAAUAAAGUGAGGGACGUGUCCCUUUUUGUAUGUACCUUAUGAAUAAGGAUCGGCUAACUCCGUGCCAGCAGCCGCGGUAAUACGGAGGAUCCAAGCGUUAUCCGGAUUUAUUGGGUUUAAAGGGAGCGUAGGUUGACAUAUAAGUCAGCUGUGAAAGUUUACGGCUCAACCGUGAAAUUGCAGUUGAUACUGUAUGUCUUGAGUGUACAAGAGGUGGGCGGAAUUCGUGGUGUAGCGGUGAAAUGCUUAGAUAUCACGAAGAACUCCAAUUGCGAAGGCAGCUCACUGGGGUACAACUGACACUGAGGCUCGAAAGUGUGGGUAUCAAACAGGAUUAGAUACCCUGGUAGUCCACACAGUAAACGAUGAAUACUCGCUGUUUGCGAUAUACAGUAAGCGGCCAAGCGAAAGCAUUAAGUAUUCCACCUGGGGAGUACGCCGGCAACGGUGAAACUCAAAGGAAUUGACGGGGGCCCGCACAAGCGGAGGAACAUGUGGUUUAAUUCGAUGAUACGCGAGGAACCUUACCCGGGCUUGAAUUGCAGAGGAACAUAGUUGAAAGAUUAUGGCCGCAAGGUCUCUGUGAAGGUGCUGCAUGGUUGUCGUCAGCUCGUGCCGUGAGGUGUCGGCUUAAGUGCCAUAACGAGCGCAACCCUUAUCAUUAGUUACUAACAGGUCAUGCUGAGGACUCUAGUGAGACUGNCGUCGUAAGAUGUGAG